CCUUUUAUGGAAACGCCGCGCUCGGGUGAUAAGGAUUCAAGAGAAUAAAGUGGGCCUCCGCUACUUCAUUGGCUUAACAUGAAAAGGGGAGAUAGAAAGAAAGGAAUGAGAAAAAAUAGAGAGAAAUGCCCCAAAAUGUAUUAUCUAUUUUGCCUUUCAUCCUCCUUUCCCCAUGUUCCAUUAGCUCGAAAGAGCUUGGCCAAUGAAUGCCUCUCCCCUUCCCGUCUCGAUCUAUCAUCCAAGAUGAGAAAUUGGACACAAUCUGAAGGUCCAGAUUGUGGAAUUCUUUAAUUUAUCGGUAGAAGGUUUUAUUAAUUUAGGAACAAAUUAACUGGAAAUUAGUUGGCUGGAGCAGAACUAUCUACAUCAUUGGAACAAAGAAUUACCAAUUACUACACCAAAUUGCAAGUGGAUGAGAUCGGUCGAGUGGUAUCAGUGGGAGAUGGAAUUGCACGUGUUUAUGGAUUAAACAAGAUGAAAGCUGGAAAAAUGGUUGAAUUUGCCAGCAGUGUGAAAGGAAUGGCUUUGAAUCUAGAAAAUGAGAAUGUAGGAAUUGUUAUAUUUCGUAGUGAUACUGCAAUUAAAGAAGGAGACAUUGUCAAGCGCACUGGAUCUAUUGUUGAUGUUCUUGUAGGAAAGGGCUUGUUAGGUCGUGUGGUUGAUGCCUUAGGAGUACCUAUUGAUGGAAAAGGUGCUUUAAGCACUGCAGAACGAAAGAAGGAGACAUUGUCAAGCGCACUAGAUCUAUUGUUGAUGUUCUUGUAGGAAAGGGCUUGUUAGGUCGUGUGGUUGAUGCCUUAAGAGUACCUAUUGAUGGAAAAGGUGCUUUAAGCACUGCAGAACGAAAGCGUGUGGAAGUUAAAGCUCCCGAGAUUAUUGCACGUAAAUCUGUGCACGAACCCAUGCAAACAGGAUUGAAAGCAGUAGAUAGUUCGGUUCCUAUAGGUCGUGGUCAACGAGAACUUAUAAUAGGAGACAGACAAACUGGAAAAACUGCUAUUGCUAUUGAUACCAUAUUGAACCAGAAGCAAAUCAACACACAGGGCACCUCGGAUAGUUAAAAAUUGUAUUGUGUGUAUGUAGCGAUUGGACAGAAACGUUCAACCGUGGCACAAUUAGUUAAGAUUCUUUCAGAAGCGGGUGCAAAAGAAUAUCGCAUUAUUGUAGCAGCUACUGCUUCGGAUCCUGCUCCUCUGCAAUUCCCGGCACCAUAUUCUGCGCUAUGGGAGAGUAUUUUCAAGAUAAUGGAAUGCACGCAUUAAUCAUUUAUGAUGACCUUUCGAAGCAAUCAGUGGCAUAUCGACAAAUGUCAUUAUUAUUACGUCGACCACCAGGUCGUGAGGCGUUCCCUGGAGAUGUUUUUUAUUCACAUUCUCGUCUAUCAGAAAGAGCCGCUAAAAUGUCAGACCAAACUGGUGCAGGUAGCUUGACUGCAUCACCUGUGAUUGAAACACAAGCUGGAGAUGUAUCUGCUUAUAUUCCGACCAAUGUUAUUCCCAUUACAGAUGGACAAAUCUUUUUGGAAACAGAACUUUUUUAUCGUGGAAUUCGACCUGCUAUUAAUGUGGGAUUAUCUGUAAGUCGUGUGAGCGGGGUGAGAUUCACAUGGGAUCGCUGGAGUUGGAAAGCUCUGCGUAGGAUCCCUCAACGCAUAAUCUGCCUUGCUCGAUUAUAAUUGAG
rnacentral:lncRNA from 1 species